rnacentral:rRNA from 1 species
UACACUCCUGCGGGAGGCAGCAGUGGGGAAUAUUGGACAAUGGGCGCAAGCCUGAUCCAGCCAUGCCGCGUGAGUGAUGAAGGCCCUAGGGUUGUAAAGCUCUUUCACCGGAGAAGAUAAUGACGGUAUCCGGAGAAGAAGCCCCGGCUAACUUCGUGCCAGCAGCCGCGGUAAUACGAAGGGGGCUAGCGUUGUUCGGAAUUACUGGGCGUAAAGCGCACGUAGGCGGAUCGAUCAGUCAGGGGUGAAAUCCCAGGGCUCAACCCUGGAACUGCCUUUGAUACUGUCGAUCUGGAGUAUGGAAGAGGUGAGUGGAAUUCCGAGUGUAGAGGUGAAAUUCGUAGAUAUUCGGAGGAACACCAGUGGCGAAGGCGGCUCACUGGUCCAUUACUGAAGCUGAGGUGCGAAAGCGUGGGGAGCAAACAGGAUUAGAAACCCGUGUAGUCCCCAUGAU